AGAUACUGAGAGACAACUGUAUACUAAAAUUGGAAUGAUACAGAAAAGAUUAGGGUGGCCCCUGGGCAAGAAUGACUUGCAGAUGUAUGAAGAACGUAAGCAAGGACUUU